UACCAUAAGUUUAAGAGGAAAAUCACCCUUUGACUCGAUAAACUAUGUUAUCAUUGGGCUUUUCUUCAAAAAUCGCUCUCUAAUGAAAAAGUUCUCUCCCGCCGUUCUUUUGAUACAAAGCGGAAGAUAGUAUGCAAAGGCGGGUAGAAUAAAGCAAUAUUGUACGGUACAUCUUCACUGUAAGCCCCAGGAAAACCAUUGUCAUUUCUCUUGAGCCCCCCAACAUAGACAAGGAUAAAGUUUGGAUAGUGUUUCGUAAAAGCUGUGACGGACUGAUUCACUUAGACAGAGACAUAUGCGCACAACGCCUCCCACAAAACACUGAAUAUGUUGUAUUUCCGUAAAGCGCCUUACGGGUUUGCACUUUCCCGUGAAGAAAUGGAAAUCUUUCAAUUGAAAAUCACAAAUCAAAAUGAAAUCUGUUAAAGCAAUCAUCUAAGAGUUGAUGGCGUGUGUAAACAAACUCCCAGCUCUUGCAAAGAAAGGCGCGCGCCGUCAGAGAGCGCAUUUGUCAAAAGCUGAAUCACGACUGGCCUAUCAGAAAGCAGAAAUCUCCAUUUCCUUACACAUACUUGUGGAAAAGGCCGUUUGAAGAGUGGAAGUUUAACUCUAGCGCAAUUUUCACCUGGUUAAAGUACAUUUCCAUAUGGUAAACACGCAAAUUUAUGGCAUGUUUCAACAACGAAAAAGUAAAGUGUUCAAGGAUUUGUAAAAAAAAAGUUAUGAUCAAUAGGGGAACGCGAAAGAAAUCCUUGCUGCCUACUGGAUUCAUUUGAAGUUGGAAAUCAUCCUUUUCGUCGUAUCAUGAGAAAAUAAGUAAUUUUAUGGUGCCGGAUGAUUCAAAUAAGUAAAGCAAAUGAGCUAUAUCGUCUAAAAAAUGCCAAAAAGGACAAAUAUUCCCGGUUUCGAAGAAGAUGAUGGAUUAUGUUCUGAUAUUAUACUAUACGUUUAAAACUGUAUACUAGUGGUUUUCCUAGAAGUCUCUCGUUUUUUCCCCCUUUCCCGUGACAUCUCGCUUGUAAGUUUAUCAGAGUGAGCAGAAAAAAGCACUGACAAACCCUGUUAAUAGUGAAUUUAUUCAAAUUCUAUAUUCUUUGUUUUAACAGAUUAGCUCAGUUAACCUCCGAAUAAUUAGUUUUCAAAUAUACAGACACACGUCCAAAACACGCGAGAAUAAAAAAAACAUUAAAAACCCGACUUCGCCAGAAUCUCUCUAAGUUACCAAAUGCCAAAAUCCAUUUUAAAUUCUUCUCAAGCUAAAUUCGUAACUCACUUUGGCAAAAUAAAUCUCUGGGUAACAAAUCGUUUUUUGCCCGAGGGCAAAGAAAUUCACUAUGCUCAGUUCUCCCGAACUAAAGAGCAAUUACCAAGCUACCUACAAAGACUGCAUUGUUUAUUUUUCACUAUUUUGUAUCACUUGGAACUACUAAUAUUAAAAUAGAGAACUUUCUCGUA